rnacentral:rRNA from 1 species
UCGGGAAUUUUGGGCAAUGGGCGAAAGCCUGACCCAGCAACGCCGCGUGAAGGAUGAAGUAUUUCGGUAUGUAAACUUCGAAAGAAUAGGAAGAAUAAAUGACGGUACUAUUUAUAAGGUCCGGCUAACUACGUGCCAGCAGCCGCGGUAAUACGUAGGGACCAAGCGUUGUUCGGAUUUACUGGGCGUAAAGGGCGCGUAGGCGGCAAUUCAAGUCAUCUGUGAAAUCUCCGGGCUUAACUCGGAACGGUCAGAUGAUACUGCUUUGCUAGAGUGCAGAAGGGGCAAUCGGAAUUCUUGGUGUAGCGGUGAAAUGCGUAGAUAUCAAGAGGAACACCUGAGGUGAAGAUGGGUUGCUGGGCUGACACUGACGCUGAGGCGCGAAAGCCAGGGGAGCAAACGGGAUUAGAUACCCCAGUAGUCCCUGAGCGGGCUGGCAAGGCGCAU